GCGAAUGGUGGAUGCCUUGACUGGUAAAGGCGAUGAAGGACGUACUAGACUGCGAUAAGCUACGGGGAGCUGUCAAGAAGCUUUGAUCCGUAGAUUUCCGAAUGGGGCAACCCAAUGUAUAGAGAUAUACAUUACCUAUAUAGGAGCGAACGAGGGGAAUUGAAACAUCUUAGUACCCUCAGGAAAAGAAAUCAAUAGAGAUUGCGUCAGUAGCGGCGAGCGAAAGCGCAAGAGGGCAAACCCAGUGCUUGCACUGGGGGUUGUAGGACUGCAAUGUGCAAGAGCUGAGUUUAGCAGAACAUUCUGGAAAGUAUAGCCAUAGAGGGUGAUAGUCCCGUAUGCGAAAAACAAAGCUUAGCUAGCAGUAUCCUGAGUAGGGCGGGACACGAGGAAUCCUGUCUGAAUCCGGGUCGACCACGAUCCAACCCUAAAUACUAAUACCAGAUCGAUAGUGCACAAGUACCGUGAGGGAAAGGUGAAAAGAACUGAGGUGAUCAGAGUGAAAUAGAACCUGAAACCAUUUGCUUACAAUCAUUCAGAGCACUAUGUAGCAAUACAGUGUGAUGGACUGCCUUUUGCAUAAUGAGCCUGCGAGUUGUGGUGUCUGGCAAGGUUAAGCAAACGCGAAGCCGUAGCGAAAGCGAGUCUGAAUAGGGCGCUUAGUCAGAUGCUGCAGACCCGAAACGAAGUGAUCUAUCCAUGAGCAAGUUGAAGCUAGUGUAAGAACUAGUGGAGGACUGAACCCAUAGGCGUUGAAAAGCCCCGGGAUGACUUGUGGAUAGGGGUGAAAGGCCAAUCAAACUUCGUGAUAGCUGGUUCUCUCCGAAAUAUAUUUAGGUAUAGCGUUGUGUCGUAAUAUAAGGGGGUAGAGCACUGAAUGGGCUAGGGCAUACACCAAUGUACCAAACCCUAUCAAACUCCGAAUACCUUAUAUGUAAUCACAGCAGUCAGGCGGCGAGUGAUAAAAUCCGUCGUCAAGAGGGAAACAACCCAGACUACCAGCUAAGGUCCCUAAAUCUUACUUAAGUGGAAAACGAUGUGAAGUUACUUAAACAACCAGGAGGUUGGCUUAGAAGCAGCCAUCCUUUAAAGAAAGCGUAAUAGCUCACUGGUCUAGUGAUUUUGCGCGGAAAAUAUAACGGGGCUAAAGUAAGUACCGAAGCUGUAGACUUGCACACAACUUAGAUUAUUUAAGUUUAGAAUAAGUAGUUUAAGUUGUGUGCAAGUGGUAGGAGAGCGUUCUAUUUGCGUCGAAGGUAUACCGGUAAGGAGUGCUGGAGCGAAUAGAAGUGAGCAUGCAGGCAUGAGUAGCGAUAAUUAAUGUGAGAAUCAUUAACGCCGUAAACCCAAGGUUUCCUACGCGAUGCUCGUCAUCGUAGGGUUAGUCGGGUCCUAAGUCGAGUCCGAAAGGGGUAGACGAUGGCAAAUUGGUUAAUAUUCCAAUACCAACAUUAGUGUGCGAUGGAAGGACGCUUAGGGCUAAGGGGGCUAGCGGAUGGAAGUGCUAGUCUAAGGU
rnacentral:rRNA from 1 species